rnacentral:rRNA from 1 species
UACGUAGGGGGCUAGCGUUGUCCGGAAUCAUUGGGCGUAAAGAGCUCGUAGGCGGUGUGUCGCGUCGGCCGUGAAAACCUGGGGCUUAACUCUGGGCGUGCGGUCGAUACGGGCAUCACUGGAGUUCGGCAGGGGAGACUGGAAUUCCUGGUGUAGCGGUGAAAUGCGCAGAUAUCAGGAGGAACACCGGUGGCGAAGGCGGGUCUCUGGGCCGAUACUGACGCUGAGGAGCGAAAGCGUGGGGAGCGAACAGG